rnacentral:lncRNA from 1 species
AGGAUGCAUGGUCAUUUGAAAUAUGUGUAAAGUCAAAUGUUCACUCAGGCUUUAAAGCAAAUAAAUUCUUAAACUUACCCACCAGUCUGGAUCCUUGGUAGUCAUUGCACAUUACAGCACGCAAAUCUCUGUGCUGGGCUUCAGGACGGAAGAGGUGCUUCCAGGUCAGUUUGCCGUCCAGUGGCGGGGACAGUUUAUAAAUAGGCACCAUACACUUCACCCAGUUUGUACAGAAACUCUGUGCCCAAGCCUUGCUCUUAGACUUGACACUUUUAGGAGGUGAAACUUUAGGAUGUUGAAUGAACAGCCAGUUUGAACAGCAGCACUAAGUGGGUAGAGAUAGAAGAAUGGUGUUAAUGAGGUCUAAGCCCUUUAAAAGAGUUGAAUUUAUAUAUGUGUUUAAGACAGGUAAGAAAUGCCUGAUUUUCAGUGUGCAUAAUUUCCAGAGCAUUUUAUUUUCCUCAUAGAAAGUACAUCUGAAUACACAUAAUGUAAAGGGCAAUGAAGAUACUUCGAGUCAUUAUAGGUAGUGUGAUCUUGUGAAUAAACUCUUCCUAUAAAUUUGCUCUUCCUAGAAGCUAAAUCUAGUUGUCAGACUUGGGUUGCAGCAAUAAGCUUAUGUCAGGGUUGAGUUUCUCUUCAGGGCUGCUUGCUCUUUCCCAGCCAGGAACAGGACAAAUCGGCACCCAGGGAAAUAACUACUACUGGCCACACCAAUACUUAGGACUUCAUCCCCCUUGCAGCUGCCAUGUUUUAUUGUUUGUUUGUUUAUUUGUGGCAGGUGGGGGUGGAUAGCAAGAUGGCUCGGGGUAAAGAGGCUUGCUGCCAAACCUGAAGACCUGAGUUUCACCCCUCCCCCCUCCCAGACCCACAGAGUAGAAGGACAGCUGACACCUGCAGAUUGUUCUCUGACCUUCAGGCAUGGUAGCACUUGCCUGAAAUCCCAGCACUUGGAAGCAGGAAGGGUCAGAAGUCAUCCUAGGUUACACAAGUUCAAGGCCAGCCCGAAUUUCAUGAGAGCCUGCCUUAAAGGAAAGAAAAAACCAAAAAGUUUCUACAGUGCAUCUCUUCACUAAAGCAUCGUAAGCAUUGAGUGGAUUCUAAAGGAGCCAUUUUUAAAGUAAUAACUUUGUAAACUCUUCAAGCUGUUCUUGAAGGAAUUCCUCAGAGUGUUUAAGGCCUUUUAUCUCUCUAGAGUUUUCUAAUUUCUGGUAGUUUAGUGUGGCAUCAAAGAAAGUCAUGACAGUGUUGUCACCCAGCACUGAUAGACAAAUAGUAAGCAUGAGUCAUCUUAUAAAUUGUUGUAGAACUCAACCGGCUGAUAACUUAUUUUAGGUAAGCACUUAAACUCUUGUAGCAUACAGAUCAUUUCUUAUCGAAUGCUGUGUUCCUGAUGCCCUAAUAUCUUAAUGUAUUCUGUAGUGGAGAUGGGCCCUGACUGGACUUUGGUUGCAUCUCUGAGCUUCCACCAUCUUUCAGAAAGAUGGUAGUAUUUUGCCCUUAGCAUUGUUAAAGGUUCUCACUCAGUAAGGGGACCCACUUGAAAAGGGUACUGGCCCAAGGAAGCCUGGGACUGUGCACUGGAAUAUAAUAAAGUGGAAAUGAAGUCU